AGUGUUAAAAUAUAAUAGGCAGGUUUUAGAUCUAUAUCUGGAUCUGGAUCACCAAUUCACCAUGUCGCCGCACAGACGCCUUCGUCUUCUUCGAUUACCACACGCCGCCGCACGCCGUCGCCACUCCUCUCCUCGCCGUCGCCGUCCAGCCAACUCCUCUCUUCUCCGAUCUUCUCCGCUCGCUGCGAACGCUGCCCAACGCAGUCCAACGCCGCAGCCCGUCGCGCCGUCCAGAUCUGACGCCUCCAGCCCCGUCGCCGUCCAGCCCUCCAGCCGCACCGUCGUCGUCGCCGUCCACCACCUCCAACCGCGCCGUCGCUGUCCAGGGAAAAGAAAAAGCCAUUUCUUCUCAUCGAUUUUCUGAGUACUUGAGGAUUAAUGUUUAUGUAUUAGGUGCUGUCUUCUUACAGCUUUGCAAACUUCUAAGCCUUGAGGAGCGCCCAAUUGUUCAAAAACCUGUAGAUCCUAGCCUUUUCAUUCAUCGAUUCACUGAUCCUCAUUUGGUUGGGCAAGCUUGCUCUUGAGCCAACAACUUAUUUAGGAUUAAAUACUUGUUUCUACUAACUUGAGAUUUGAGUAGGAUUAUCGACGUAAAGCAAAGGAAGAUGAUAAUUCAAGUGCUGCCCAGAGAGCAUAAGUGAUGGUCAAGCCAAUCUAGUGGAGGGGUGAACUUUCAAAAUCUUGUGGAAAACAACAGAUGCUAUUUAUUAGAUUGUGGUGAUGAGGUAUUUGUUUGGGUUGGCCGUGUAACACAAGUGAAUGAGAGGAGACUGCUAUGUAGUUCUAUACACCUAUCACUCUCAUGAUAAGAAAGAAGAUUAUUACCUGUGCAAUUCACUGGAAGCAUAUAUCAUCUGGCUUCGCCACCGUCGCCACAAAAGGUAAGUAUUGCUUUAUAUUUAAUAUAUUAUUAAUAUUUAAUACCUCAUUGGUGUUCAAUUAGAUGGAAGUGAACAUGUAGAACCAUUAAGGAACCGCCUCUCAGAUAAAAUGGAGCAAGAAAGUGCUAAGUUGUGCUAUGUAAACACAAAUGACUAUUAACAGUCCUAAUAAGCAGCUGGGGGCUGGCCUGGUUCAAAUGCUAUCUCAAUUUCACAGCAAGCUGAGCUUGCCAAGAAAGCUUUGCAUGAGAAUGUGUGUAGGCUUAAGGAAGACUUUCAUGCUGUGGUAGAUUGGGCAUACAAGAUUGAUCCUUUGCGUUGCAUAUCAUUGCAUGGAGUCACAGAACGGUAUAUUUCUGGUCAGAAAUCUGAUACAGCAGGAUUUGUUCGUAUCUUGCUUGAUGACCUUGAAUCUAGAAUAUCUGUACUAUUUAGCCGUGUAACCAGCUGCAUCCUUGCUUAUCAACUUUUAUAGUAGUGAUAUUCUUCUUCUUCUUUUCAUUUUUGUAAACUUGAAACUUGGAUUGUAGUUUGUAGAUGAAGCUUGUCAUCAAAUUGAAAGAAAUGAGCGAAAUGUUCGUAGAAUAAAUUUUUAUCAAA